GAAUCGCUAGUAAUCGUGGAUCAGAAUGUCACGGAUGAAUACGUUCCCGGGCCUUGUACACACCGCCCGUCACACCAUGGGAGUGGACUGCACCAGAAGUGGUUAGCCUAACUUCGGAGGGCGAUCACCACGGUGUGGUUCAUGACUGGGGUGAAGUCGUAACAAGGUAGCCGUAGGGGAACCUGCGGCUGGAUCACCUCCU
rnacentral:rRNA from 1 species